rnacentral:rRNA from 1 species
UACGGAGGGUGCAAGCGUUAUCCGGAUUUACUGGGUUUAAAGGGUGUGUAGGCGGAUUUUUAAGUCAGAGGUGAAAUCUCCAGGCUCAACCUGGAAACUGCCCCUGAUACUAUUAGUCUUGAAUAUUGAUGAGGUGGGCGGAACGGGUCAUGUAGCGGUGAAAUGCUUAGAGAUGACCCGGAACACCAAUUGCGAAGGCAGCCCCCUGGGUCAAGAUUGACGCUCAUGCACGAAAGCGUGGGGAGCAAACAGG